rnacentral:rRNA from 1 species
AUGUAUGCAACGACCUACAGCACCCACGUCUGUACAUUCCCUUUUCACUUUCUGAAUUUCCACUCCUUUUGUUUAGCUGAUGAGAUUGAUUUGAAAGUAUCGUCGAAAAAAGAAGGUGAUUUGGAAGUAUUUACCAAUAGUGAAAAUGCUACCAACGCAAAUCAAGCGAGAUGCGCCAUCUCGCACACUGUACAGAUGCAUUUUGUACGUACGUACGUACGUACUACCUGCUGGCCAAGAUCUAUUGAGAAAGAGCGGCUAUAUACGUGUCACGUGUGUGUGUGUCGUAUGCACGUUGCGAGCAUACUGAAGUUGCUGCGGCGGAGACGCUACUGUGCCGACGGCCGGCAACGGCCGGGGCCUGAGACGGCGGCCGAGGCCUGCGCCACAAGGACGUCGGCGCGCUCGCAACAUGUUUGGGGAGGGGGCGACUCGGUGGCCGACGGCGCCGGCGACACGACGAGGGCGCGCCGGCAGGAGGGGCAGGUGGAGCUGGAGAGCAGCCACACGUCGACGCAGGCGGCGUGGAAGCCGUGGCCGCACGUCGGGAGCACGCGCACCUCGUCGCCGCGCGCGAACUCCACCAAGCAGAUGGCGCACUCCGGCCGCUCCCCAGCCUCCUCAUCAUUCUUCUCCUGCUCUGGCCGCCAGGACACGGUCGGCAGCGCUUGCAGCGCCUUCUUCUUGAUCCCCUUGCACGGCGCGGCGACUGCCCCCGGUGCGUCGACGGAGAAGGCGGAGGGGUUGCACAGGCGGGAGCACCGGGCGACCAUGGCCAGCCCGACCACGCAGAGCAGGAAGCAGAGCACCGCCGCCAGGAUGAGCAGCGUGUCCGUGUGCACGCUCAUCCCGCCCCGCGCCAUGGCGGCCGCCGGAGGCGCGGCCAGCGCGGCGAGGCGGUCGACGGACUGCUGCAGCAUGUGGCGCGGCAUUUUUCUCGCUCCUUCUCUUCUGUGUGGGGCAGGAACUCUGAGAUGA